rnacentral:misc_RNA from 1 species
GAUGAAGAACGUAGCGAAAUGCGAUACUUGGUGUGAAUUGCAGAAUUCAGUGAAUCAUCGAAUCUUUGAACGCACAUUGCGCCCCCUGGUAUUCCGGGGGGCAUGCCUGUCCGAGCGUCAUUACAACCCUCAAGCUCAGCUUGGUGUUGGGCCCCGCCGCCCCGGCGGGCCCUAAAGUCAGUGGCGGUGCCGUCCGGCUCCGAGCGUAGUAAUUCUUCUCGCUCUGGAGGUCCGGUCGUGUGCUCGCCAGCAACCCCCAAUUUUUUUCAGGUUGACCUCGGAUCAGGUAGGGAUACCCGCUGAACUUAAGCAUAUCAAUAAGCGGAGGA